GCCAGUCAGACAAGGACCUGGACUGAGAGAGGGAGCAGGACUUGCUGCACCCUCUAUGCCCCCAGGUACCUGAACCUCAGCGUGUGCAUGAGCAUGAUUGCCUUGCAGUUGGACAAAGACCUGGGCUGAGAGAGGGAGCAGACUGUCUCUACUAUUGUGGAUGGACAUCAUUGUGGCAUGUCAAGGACAGAGUGAACCAGGCUGUCAUGUUGCAG